AAACUGCUGAGGAGUCCCACACUAGGACGAAACAGACGUCCAGUGC
rnacentral:hammerhead_ribozyme from 1 species